rnacentral:rRNA from 1 species
GACGAACGCUGGCGGCGUGCUUAACACAUGCAAGUCGAACGGAAAGGCCCGGCUUUUGUGGGGUGCGCGAGUGGCGAACGGGUGAGUAACACGUGAGUAACCUGCCCUUGACUUGGGGAUAACUUCAGGAAACUGGGGCUAAUACCGGAUAGGAGCUCCUGCUGCAGGGGGGGGGUUGGAAAGUUUCGGCGGUUGGGGAUGGACUCGCGGCUUAUCAGCGUGUGGGUGGGGUAGUGGCUUACCAAGGCGUUGACGGGUAGCCGGCCUGAGAGGGUGACCGGCCACAUUGGGACUGAGGUACGGCCCAGACUCCUACGGUAGGCAGCAGUGGGGAAUAUUGCACCAUGGGCGGAAGCCUGAUGCAGCAGCGCCGCGUGCGGGAUGGCGGCCUUCGGGUUGUAAACCGCUUUCGCCUGUGACGAAGCGUGAGUGACGGUAAUGGGUAAAGAAGCACCGGCUAACUUCGUU